AAUUCAUCGAAAGGAGGUGGUCCAGUGUCUAGAGUGAUAGUGGAGAAUGAGGUCAAGACAGUCGGGGGGGCCGCGACCUAGAGGCAGUCCUUUGGGUUAAACACCCCUGAUUGGGCCUUUCCUAACUGGCCCAUCUCCGAAGAUCUCGAAGGGCUGUCUGAUCUGGACAGCCCU
rnacentral:misc_RNA from 1 species